rnacentral:rRNA from 1 species
UUGACGAACGCUGGCGGCGCGCCUAACACAUGCAAGUCGAACGAGCGAGAGAGAGCUUGCUUUUUCGAGCGAGUGGCGAACGGGUGAGUAACGCGUGAGGAACCUGCCUCAAAGAGGGGGACAACAGUUGGAAACGACUGCUAAUACCGCAUAAGCCCACGGGUCGGCAUCGACCAGAGGGAAAAGGAGCAAUCCGCUUUGAGAUGGCCUCGCGUCCGAUUAGCUAGUUGGUGAGGUAAUGGCCCACCAAGGCAACGAUCGGUAGCCGGACUGAGAGGUUGAACGGCCACAUUGGGACUGAGACACGGCCCAGACUCCUACGGGAGGCAGCAGUGGGGAAUAUUGCACAAUGGGGGAAACCCUGAUGCAGCGACGCCGCGUGGAGGAAGAAGGUCUUCGGAUUGUAAACUCCUGUUGUUGGGGAAGAUAAUGACGGUACCCAACAAGGAAGUGACGGCUAACUACGUGCCAGCAGCCGCGGUAAAACGUAGGUCACAAGCGUUGUCCGGAAUUACUGGGUGUAAAGGGAGCGCAGGCGGGAAGACAAGUUGGAAGUGAAAUCUAUGGGCUCAACCCAUAAACUGCUUUCAAAACUGUUUUUCUUGAGUAGUGCAGAGGUAGGCGGAAUUCCCGGUGUAGCGGUGGAAUGCGUAGAUAUCGGGAGGAACACCAGUGGCGAAGGCGGCCUACUGGGCACCAACUGACGCUGAGGCUCGAAAGUGUGGGUAGCAAACAGGAUUAGAUACCCUGGUAGUCCACACCGUAAACGAUGAUUACUAGGUGUUGGAGGAUUGACCCCUUCAGUGCCGCAGUUAACACAA